UAACAACCGUGUUCAUUGCUGUUUCCUCAUGUCACAUGUGCAGAUCAAAACAGGUAGGCGUUAAAAGUUGCAGCAUGAAGCAGAACAGAUUGCUGAUGGGUAACUGACAUAUGACUGACUAAAUGGAUCAAGGCUUACAAAACUGCUUUGACAAGCCGGGCAUCAAACUGACAGCUCAUUGGAAAGGCAUGCCUCGUCACAAGCCUGAAGAGACACAGAAUGACAGUUCACAGGCUCAAGUACAAGAUGGCCUCUCAAUCUUCUUCAGCUGGCUAGGAUCUUGGCUAAUGCAGGGCCUCGGAUGCCAGACAGCAAAGGGCCUGGAGGAACAAGCGUGGUCCCAGCGAGCUCUUUAUGAAAGAAAACAGAAAAUCUAGAUUCGGUGAGAGGUGAAGAGGUAGGAGGUCUGUAAGUAUCUUGUGGCCCUUUACAAUCUGUGAGUUCAGGG
rnacentral:lncRNA from 1 species